rnacentral:tRNA from 1 species
GGUGGCUCAAUGGUAGAGCACUUGCCUUGCAUGCAUGAGGCCCUGGGUUCUAUUCCCCAGCACCA